rnacentral:tRNA from 1 species
AAUUAGAAAGCGAAUAUUUGCAUUUAGUUUCGACCUAAAUUCUUGGCUCUAUAGGCCUCUAAUUA